UGGCUUCCAAGGUUGCUUGGAAUUCUGUGAUUCCAGGCUUGACAUAUUUCAGGGGUGGGCAGACUGGCAGACUCGAUGGAUUUCUUUUCUUUUCCUUUACCAGAACCAGAAUCUUUCACACACAAGUCCUCUCCAGAUGCUCCCCGAGACUUUCUUUGUGUUAGCAUUUUUAAUGCCUUGUUGUUGUUGUUGCUGUUAAACUAUUGGUAGUAUAUGAGUCGUUCCGGUCUCCUCUUUUGCAAGGACCCAGGACGGUCAAGGAUCUCUCGCAUCUGCCUGGCGCCCAGCCAGGCUGUGAUCGCUAGGUCUGCGCGGGGCCUUGGGCUGGCACGCUGGCGUGGUAGGCGCCUGAGAACUUCCGAGUUGCUGGAGGAGUCCCGGGCGGGCUGCAUUGCCGCCGUGGGGCAGGGGAGCGUCUCUCCCCGUCUCCGACUCCCUCUCCUACCGAGGGGAAGGGCUCGGAGGAGCGCCAAAUGGGCCGCUCUUCAAAGCCGCCCAGAGCGGGAUGCAAACCGCCUGUCCUUCGCGCGUCGCCUCGGAAGUAGGCAAGCCCGGCAAGCCCGGCAAGCCCCCCGGAUUCAACCGGGCACCGCUCGAGGGCCGCGGCAUGCCCGCGAGAGAAGCCCCGGCACUGAGCAAGCGGGAACCGAGGGUGGCCGCGGGGGUGGCCUCCGCUGCCCGCCCGCUGGAAGCAGAAACUGCCUGGCGCCUGCUGCUGACUUGCCCGCCGACGAGAGGCCAGCGUACACAGAAGAUGUUGGAACCAGCCUCUACUUUGUGAACGACUCCAUUCAGCAGGUGACCUUUUCCAGCACUGUGGGGGUGGUGAUCCCCUGUCCAGCCACAGGGUCCCCCAGCGCCACCCUUCGCUGGUACCUUGCCACUGGGGAUGACAUCUAUGAUGUCCCACAUAUUCGCCACGUUCACGCCAAUGGGACGCUGCAGCUCUACCCAUUCUCGCCAUCUGCCUUCAAUAGCUUUAUCCACGACAACGGCUAUUUCUGUACCGCAGAGAACUCUGUGGGAAAAAUCAGGAGCCCAAAUAUCCGGGUUAAAGCAGUUUUCAGGGAACCUUACACAGUCCGGGUGGAGGAUCAAAGGUCAAUGCGUGGAAACGUGGCUGUCUUCAAGUGCCUCAUCCCUUCUUCGGUGCAAGAAUACGUCAGUGUUGUGUCCUGGGAGAAAGAUACAGUUUCUAUCAUCCCAGAAAGUAGGUUUUUCAUUACUUUCUAUGGUGGGUUGUACAUAUCAGACGUCCAGAAGGAAGAUGCCUUGUCUACCUACAGGUGUAUCACCAAGCACAAGUACAGUGGUGAGACGCGGCAGAGCAACGGAGCCCGACUGUCCGUCUCAGACCCUGCAGAAUCCAUCCUAACCAUCCUAGACGGCUUCCAGUCCCAGGAAGCAAAGGCAGGCCAGAUGGUGGAGCUGCCGUGCAUUGCCUCCGGCUACCCUAACCCAGCCAUCCGAUGGAUCAAAGAUGGUCGGCCACUGCCCGCUGACAGUCGGUGGACCAAACGCGUCACCGGGCUGACCAUCAGUGACCUGCAAGUGGAGGACAGCGGCACGUACAUCUGUGAAGUCACCAAUACCUUUGGGUCUGCCGAGGUUACUGGGACCCUCACAGUGAUAGACCCUCUGCACAUCACCCUCACACCAAAGAAGUUGAAGACAGGCAUAGGGAGCACCGUCAUCCUCUCGUGCGCGCUCUCGGGCUCACCAGAAUAUACCCUCCGCUGGUACCGCAACACAGAGCUGGUGGCGCCAGACAACUUCAUCUCCAUCCGGGGAAUCAACAACGAGACGCUGCUCAUCACAGCUGCCCAGAAGAGCCAUUCAGGAGCCUAUCAGUGCUUUGCCACCAGGAAGACCCAGACUGCUCAGGACUUUGCUGUCAUCGUGCUGGAGGAUGGGACCCCCCGAAUCAUCUUGUCCUUCAGUGAAAAAGUGGUGAAUCCAGGUGAGCAGUUCUCCCUAAUGUGUGCUGCCAAGGGGGCCCCCCCGCCCACCAUCACGUGGGCCCUGGACGAUGAGCCCAUCCAGAGAGAUGGCAGCCACCGCAGCAACCAGUACACCAUGUCGGAUGGCACCACCGUGAGCCACAUGAACGUGACAAGCCCGCAGAUCAAGGAUGGAGGAGUUUACCGUUGUGCCGCGCGGAACUCGGUGGGCAGCGCCGAAUACCAAGCGCGAAUAAACGUAAGAGGCCCCCCCAGCAUCCGGGCCAUGAAAAACAUUACAGCUGUGGCAGGAAGGGACACCUUCAUCAACUGCAGGGUGAUCGGCUACCCCUAUUAUUCCAUCAAAUGGUACAAGGACUUGCUACUGCUGCCUGACAACCACCGGCAAGUUGUCUUUGAAAAUGGCACCCUCAAGCUGAUGGAUGUCCAGAAGGGGAUGGACGAAGGGGAGUACCUGUGCAGUGUCCUCAUUCAGCCGCAGCUCUCCAUCAGCCAGAGUGUCCAUGUCACUGUGAAAGUCCCUCCUCUCAUCCAGCCCUUCGAAUUCCCUCCGGCCUCCAUCGGGCAACUCCUGUACAUCCCCUGCGUGGUCUCCUCAGGUGACAUGCCCAUCCGCAUCACAUGGAGGAAAGAUGGGCAGGUGAUCCUUUCCGGCUCUGGCGUCACCAUCGAGAGCAAGGAAUUCAUGAGCUCCCUGCAGAUCUCCAGCGUGUCUCUUAAGCACAACGGCAACUACACCUGCAUUGCCAGCAAUGAUGCUGCCACCGUCAGCCGUGAGCGGCAGCUCAUUGUUCGAGUCCCUCCUCGCUUUGUGGUCCAGCCCAACAAUCAGGAUGGGAUCUAUGGCAAAGCAGGGGUGUUGAACUGCUCUGUGGAUGGAUAUCCCCCUCCCAAGGUCGUGUGGAAGCAUGCUAAAGGCAGUGGGAACCCCCAGCAAUACCACCCAGUACCCCUCACCGGCCGCAUCCAGAUCCUGCCCAACAGCUCCUUGCUCAUUCGGCAUGUUUUAGAAGAGGACAUUGGCUAUUACCUGUGCCAGGCCAGCAAUGGAGUCGGCACAGACAUCAGCAAGUCCAUGUUCCUUACAGUGAAGAUCCCUGCUAUGAUCACCUCUCACCCCAACACCACCAUUGCCAUCAAGGGGCAGGCCAAGGAGCUGAACUGCACGGCCCGUGGAGAGCGUCCCAUCAUCAUCCGCUGGGAGAAAGGGGACACAGUCAUUGACCCGGAUCGCAACGUCCGCUAUGCCAUUGCCACCAAGGACAAUGGCGACGAGGUCAUCUCUACACUCAAACUCAAGCCCGCUGACCGUGGGGACUCCGUCUUCUUCUCCUGCCAUGCAAUCAACUCAUAUGGUGAAGACAGAGGACUAAUUCAGCUCACUGUCCAAGAGCCACCAGACCCUCCAGAGUUAGAGAUCCGGGAGGUGAAGGCCCGGAGCAUGAAUUUGCGUUGGACACAGAGGUUCGAUGGCAACAGCAUCAUCACUGGUUUUGACAUUGAGUACAAGAACAAGUCUGAUUCCUGGGACUUCAAGCAAUCCACGCGCAACAUUUCCCCAACCAUUAACCAAGCCAACAUUGUGGACCUCCACCCAGCCUCAGUUUACAGCAUCCGCAUGUACUCCUUCAACAAGAUUGGCCGCAGUGAGCCCAGCAAGGAGCUGACUAUCAGCACGGAGGAAGCAGCUCCAGAUGGGCCGCCCAUGGAUGUCACUUUGCAGCCAGUGACAUCCCAGAGCAUCCAGGUCACUUGGAAGGCCCCAAAGAAGGAACUCCAGAACGGGGUGAUCCGUGGCUACCAAAUUGGCUACCGGGAGAACAGCCCUGGGAGCAAUGGGCAGUACAGCAUUGUUGAGAUGAAGGCUACAGGGGACAGUGAGGUCUACACCCUUGACAAUCUGAAGAAAUUUGCCCAGUAUGGUGUGGUGGUGCAGGCCUUCAACCGUGCAGGCACUGGCCCCUCGUCCAGUGAGAUCAACGCCACCACGCUAGAGGAUGUGCCCAGCCAACCCCCUGAAAAUGUGAGAGCUUUGUCCAUCACAUCGGAUGUGGCUGUGAUUUCUUGGUCAGAGCCUCCACGGAGCACCCUCAACGGCGUCCUGAAGGGCUACCGUGUCGUCUUUUGGUCCCUCUACACAGAUGGAGAGUGGGGGGAGAUGCAGAAUAUCACCACCGCCCGGGAGCGAGCAGAGCUGCGAGGCAUGGAGAAGUUCACCAACUACAGCGUGCAGGUCCUGGCCUACACCCAGGCUGGCGAUGGCGUCCGCAGCAACGUGCUCCACAUCCAGACCAAGGAAGACAUUCCUGGUCCUCCAGCUGGGAUCAAGGCCGUCCCUUCUUCUGCCAGCAGCGUGGUGGUAUCUUGGCUUCCCCCCACCAAACCCAACGGGGUCAUCCGGAAGUACACCAUCUUCUGCUCCAGCCCAGGCUCUGGGCAGCCGGCUCCCAGUGAGUACGAAACCAGCCCUGAGCAGUUGUUCUAUCGCAUCGCACACCUGAACCGUGGUCAGCAGUACAUGCUGUGGGUUGCAGCCGUCACCUCAGCAGGACGUGGCAACAUCAGCGAAAAGGUCACCAUUGAGCCUGCUGGAAAAGCCCCAGCCAAGAUAAUUUCAUUUGGAGGCACUGUCACCACCCCGUGGAUGAAGGAUGUGUGCCUGCCCUGCAAUUCAGUUGGUGAGCCUGCCCCAGCGGUGAAGUGGACCAAGGACAGCGACGAUUCUGCCAUCCCAGUGACUGUGGAUGGACACCGCCAGAUCCAGGCCAAUGGCACGUUGAUUCUGCGCUCUGUGAAAGCAGAGGAUUCUGGGUACUACACCUGCACAGCCACCAACACAUGGGGGUUCGACACCAUCAUUGUCAACUUGCUAGUGCAAGUUCCUCCGGACCAGCCCCGGCUGACGGUAUCAAAGACCUCCGCUUCAUCUAUCACCUUGGCCUGGAUUCCUGGUGAUAAUGGCGGCAGCUCCAUCCGAGGCUUUGUGCUCCAGUACUCUGUUGACAACAGUGAGGAGUGGAAGGAUGUCUUCAUCACGUCCACAGAGCGCUCCUUCAAGCUGGAGAGCCUAAAAUGCGGGACUUGGUACAAGGUGAAGCUGGCGGCCAAGAACAGCGUGGGAGCCGGCCGCAUCAGUGAGAUCAUCGAAGCCAAGACCCACGGCAGAGAGCCCUCCUUUAACAAGGACCAGCACCUGUUCACCCACAUUAACUCCACACACGCCAGGCUGAAUUUGCAAGGCUGGAACAGCGGAGGCUGCCCCGUUCUGGCCAUUGUCCUGGAGUACCGGCCCAAGGGCACGUGGGUCUGGCAGAGCCUGAGGGCCAAUUAUUCCAGUGAAAUCUUUCUGAUGGAGCUACGUGAAGCCACGUGGUAUGAGUUGCGCAUGAAGGCAUGCAACAGCGCUGGCUGUGGCAAUGAGACCAUGCAGUUUGCCACAUUGGACUACGAUGGCAGUACCAUCCCACCUAUCAAGUCUGCCCAGGGGGAGGGGGAUGAUGUAAAGAAACUUUUCACCAUCGCGUGCCCCGUCAUCUUGGCCACGCUUGGUGUUGCACUGCUGGUCGUCGUACGCAAGAAGCGGAAGGAGAAACGCCUGAAACGUUUGCGAGAUGCCAAAAGUUUGGCUGAAAUGCUCAUCAGUAAGAAUAACCGGAGUUUUGACACACCAGUGAAGGGUCCCCCACAGGGCCCGCGUCUGCACAUUGACAUCCCCCGUGUUCAGCUCCUCAUCGAGGACAAGGAAGGCAUCAAGCAGAUCGGAGACGACAAGGCAACCAUCCCAGUGACUGACACAGAAUUUAACCAGGCUGUGAACCCCCAGAGUUUCUGCACUGGUGUUUCCCUGCACCAUCCAGCACUCAUUCAGAACACAGGACCUCUGAUAGACAUGUCUGAUAUCCGCCCUGGCACCAACCCAGUUUCCAGAAAAAGUGUGAAGUCAGCACACAGUACCAGGAACAGAUACUCCAGCCAAUGGACUCUUACCAAGUGCCAGGCCUCCACUCCAGCACGAACCCUCACCUCUGACUGGAGGACAGUUGGCUCCCAGCAUGGCAUCACAGUGACAGAAAGUGACAGUUAUAGUGCAAGCUUGUCCCAGGAUACAGACAAAGGGCGGAACAGCAUGGUGUCCACAGAGAGUGCCUCAUCCACUUAUGAGGAGCUGGCCCGUGCCUAUGAACAUGCCAAGCUAGAGGAGCAGUUGCAGCAUGCCAAGUUUGAGAUCACCGAGUGUUUCAUCUCUGACAGCUCCUCUGACCAGAUGACCAUGGGCACCAACGAGAAUGCUGACAGCAUGACCUCCAUGAGCACCCCGUCGGAACCAGGCAUCUGCCGCUUCACUGCCUCUCCUCCAAAGCCCUUGGACAGUGACCGGGGCAAGAGUGUGGCUGUGCCUAUCCCUCACCGUGCAAAUAAAAAGCCACUUUCCAAGCUGGCAAAGGAUGUGGUUCUGGAAUGGGGCUGUCCUUUGGCAUAAGAAACAUUUCUUCACCGUGACAUUUCCUGGAGAAGCUACAGCUAGAGAGGGGAGAAAUGUUGCGCCAAAGAUCGGGCUUCCUGGAGGCCACUGUUUCUCCACACACAACCAGACUUGUUUCUUGACUGACUGGAAUGUCAUGUCCGGUAGCCCUUCCCUCUGCAUUCUCCUGAACACAGAAUGGCUCUGAACCCUACGAAGUGGUGAUAGAUUGUGAUUGGGUAUUGCCCAUGGCAUGUUCUGCUUGAAAGGUGCAAGCAUU